GCAGGGGGGAGGCUGUCCCCUCCCUCACCCCUCCAUCCUCACCCCUCCACCCCCAGCAGAGCACCGGUGUUCCGCCAUAAAUACGUCCGGACUGGAGGCUUCGGUUCCGGACGGAGCAGCUCCACCAGCCUGGAACAUCAGAGACCGACGGAGGCAGCAUCAUGCGUUAGAACCUGGUGUAUCUGUGGGAGUCGGGGGUCUGGAGGAGGAGCUGGGGGGUCUGGAGCUCAGGUUGCUAAUCAGAGGGGGAAUACCUGAACCAGGGCAGAGCCGUCGUCAAACAGUCCUCCCUUUGUGGCGGCCGAACGGAGGAAUGCGAUUGAGCCGGAGAUAUGGAGGGUUGCUGGGGGGGUUUCAGGUACACCAGGAGGUGAGGAGGGGGAGGCGCCUCUGGAAACCUGGAGGAACCAGAACCACUGUGAUCAGACUGAAAUUAAAUCAUGUCAACUCGGAGAGCGUUUAGAGAGAGUCUCAUCCUGUUUCUAAUCAUAUUCACUGUGUUUUUAUUUACAUCUAAGCUGAGGAACCUGAUUAUUGUCUCUGUGUUCUGGACAGUCGGUCUCAUUUCUCAGCCUCUGUGAUCUUCAGCAGCUCAGAUGUUCUCUGGAACCACAAUAAGCUGCUGUCCGACAUGUUAAAGCAGCUGUAAACACUCACUAAUUAUCUGCUCCGAGGUGUUUUCUGAUUAGCUGAGCUGGCUGCUGGACAGGACUUACAUGCAAAAUCCUCAAAUUAUUACAGAACUGAAGGUUCUUCCUCAGAUUAUAGCUGACAAGACGGUUUAAAGCAUACCAUUAUAAUUCAGAUUUACACUAUCGUUAAAGUUUAGGGUCAAAGGAGUCACAUGAAAUACAGUAAAAUACAAUAAAGAUAUUGAAAAAAUAUAGUAAAAAUAUAGUAAACAUAUAGCAAAAAAUACAGUAAAAUACAGCAAAGAUAUAGUAAAACUACACUAAAAAUACAGUAUAAAUACAGUAAAAAUAUAGUAAAAAUUGUAUUAUUAUUUUAAAAAUAUAUAAUCAAAAAAGGAAAAAUCUCAUAAAACAGUAAAAAUACUGUAAAAAUAUAGUAAAAAUACAGUAAAAAAUAUAGAAAAACAUUUUUAAAUAUAGUAUAAAUACAGUAAAACAUAGUAAAAAUGCAGUAAAAAAAUACAGAAAACCAUAUUUUAAAAAUAUAUUAAAAAUAUAGUAAAACAUAGUAAAAAUGUAGUAAAUUUUUGUAAAAAUACAGUAAAAAAAUUGUAAAACAUUAAAAUGCAGUUAAAAUUAGCAAAAACUAAAGUAAAAUAAAGUAAGUGCAGAAAGAAAGUGCAGUAAAAUAUAUUAACAAUAUAGUAAAAAUAUAGUAAAAAAAUACAGUAAAAAUAUACACUAUUGUUCAAAAGUUUGAGGUCACCCAGACAAUUUCAUGUUUUCCAUGAAAACUCCCACUUUUAUCCAUGUGCUAACAUAACUGCACAAGGGUUUUCUAAUCAUCAAUGAGCCUUUCAACACCAUUAACUAACACAAUGUAGCAUUAGAACACAGGAGUGAUGGUUGCUGGAAAUGUUCCUCUGUACCUCUAUGGAGAUAUUCCAUUAAAAAUCAGCCGUUUCCAGCUAGAAUAGUCAUUUACCACAUUAACAAUGUAGUAAAGCCCCAAGUAACCCACAACUUUUUCAAAAUGACCUGAAACUUGUCCAAAAUGAGCCAAAGAUAUUCCUAACAGAGUUAAAUUUGCCCAAAAUGGCUUGAAACUUGCUUAAAAUGAGUCUGAAGCUGUUGAAGUUGUUUAAAUUGACUCAAAAUAGCCAAAAAUGGCUUAAAUUGUGUUCAAAAUAAGUUAAAUAGUGUCUAAACUGCUUUGGAACAUAUCUAAACAUCAUCCUAAUGAAGACAGAAUUGGCCAGAGUGAUCCAACAUGUGUCUGUAAUGUGUUGAAAGCUGUUUAGAAUGGAUUUCUAACCCUAUCUAACCCAGAAUUCACUAAUUAGCUUAGCUGCUAAAAACGUUAGCUUGUUGAUCUAAAGGCUUCAGUGGGUAAAAUGAGCUAACCUGAGUUCAUCUGUUUUCAGAGCUAAACAAACAUUUAGCAAACCAAACAAACCAUUAAUUCUUACAAACCUGAACUUCAGUCUUAUCAGCUAAAAUUAAACAUUAGCCAACUUGAACAUAACGUUCUAACUGCUGUAAUAUUUAAUUAGCUAAUAUGCUCAUGUGUUUAGCUUAACUUACCUGCUCAACCACUGACCUAUGUAUAAAUAACACGAGAGCAGUUUGUACAUAAGAAAUGGCUAACCUGAGCUUAGAUAAUAAUUCAUUUAAACAGCUUAAAAUACUGACAUUACCAGAAACCGUUUUAGCUGCUAAAAUACAGAUGACCUUUAAAAUGCUAAACAGUUAGCUGAAGCUUCUUCUGAAAUUAUACUGAAGCUAACCUGGAUUACAUUUAACCCUAUCCGUUUUUAGUAAAACAUUAAUUCUGGAAAACCUGAACUUACACAUGUAAUCAGUUAAAAUAAAACAUUAGCUGAAUUGGAACUCUUGUAGAUGCUAAAUUAAAUAUUAUCUAUUUAGUUAAGCUACUGAAGUGAGCGCAGCUAACUCCACUGAAGUGCUUUAGCAUGGAAAACAAGCUAACCCACCUGAAUUCAACUGUAUUAAAUGCUAAAAUAAACAGUUCAGAAGCCAACCUGACUUUUAUAAAAUAAAAUAUUAAUGCUGGCAGACCUGAACGUGAAAAUUUUAUCAACUGAAACUAAAAAUUGGCAGCUAAGCUCAGCUGCUAACACGGACCCUUACUAACAGAAGUUUACCUGCUAAAACAAGCUGUUUAAAAGAUGCUAAAGCUAACCUGGAUCACACUGAAUUGAACCAUUCUUAAACAAAGAAUUAAUUCUGGCAAAAGCUUUGCUAUUUAAAGUAAAAUAUUACCUGAAUUGGAGAUGUUGUAGUGGCUGAAAAAAAAUGUUAGCUGCUAAAAACGUUAGCUUAUUGAGCUAAAGGCUGCAGUGGGUAAAAUGUGCUAACUGAAUUCAAUUGUUUUAAGAGCUAAACAAACAGUUAGCAAACCCAAUAAACCUUUAAUGCUUACAAACCUGAACCUCAGAGUCUUAUCAGCUAAAAUCAAACAUUAGAAAACUUUAACAGAAAUGUUAUAACUGCUGAAAUAUUUAAUUUGCUAAUAUGUUCAUGUGUUGUGGCUAAAAUAAAAUGCUAGCUGCUUAGCUUAGCUGCUAACGUGGGCUAAUAUUUAACAACUACCAGCUAACUUAGAAGCUUUAGUGGGUAAAACAGCAUAAUUAACCUGAAAUUAACUGUUCAAUUGCUAGAAUAAACAGGUCAGAAGACACUGACGUUUACCUGAGUUACUCUGAAUUUAGCCAUUUAUGAAUAAACAAUAAUGCUUAGAAUUAAACAUUAGCUGAAGUGAAACUGUUUUAGCUGCUGAAAUAAACCACUUACGCCCAUUUAUAUCCGUCUACAGCUGCUGUUAUCGGUCAUAAAGAUUUUUUUUUCUGUAGUAUUUUACCUGCGCUGUUUUACAUCAUAACCAAACCAGCUGUUUUUACUGGUUGAAAUCGCUUUAAAGGAGCAAUUUAACUUAGCUUUACAACUAAUAAAGUGUGACUGAAAUGUAUCAACAUGCAUCAAAAUAACUUGAUUUCAUUCAACGGAGUUAUGUUUUAGGAAUUACAGCUCAGAGGAUCAUCACACAGAAUAUAAUUUCUUAGUUUUACAUAUAAAACAGUCUGAACAUUUACAGGUUUAACAUCAGUUUUGCUCAUUUAAUUAAUUACUGCACUUAACACAUGCACAAGUAAAUAAAUACCAGGCACAUCUAAUUUAAACUGGUUAAUAAGUUUGCUGACUUCAGGUUUAUAGGUGUUUAUUAAUGUUAUUGAAGGUUUUAGUUCUUCUACACAACAACACGUUCAAUUCUCUCUUAGAUUUUAUUCAGGAUUCUUUACAAUAACGUGUAUAAAUUGCUCAACGGUCGGUUAUUAUGACUUCAGUGCGUGCCAGUUUCACUUAUUAUUAUUACUAUUGGAUUACAUUAUUUACAUUUUAAAUGUUGUUAAAAUCAGUUAAAUUACUAAUACACUUAUCCAUAUUGUAACUGAGCCACAGCUGCUUUUAUGUAAAGAUGUUUAUAACCAUUUAACAUAAAAACAUUCAAGAUUAAUGUAAAAUUGUAAUCAAAUUAAACUAGUUAUUUCAGACUGAUAUCUACAGCAAAUGGCAAUUUGUGAAUGUCUUUGAAUGGAAUAUUCAGCACUGAAUGUGAUCUAAUUUAAUGCAUUUAUACAAAGAGAAGAUAUAAAGUCAAGUGUUUGAGUGGAUGUCUGUGUGUUUUUAUCUUCAUAUUCUCACCAUAAAGAUGUUUUUCUCUGUG